rnacentral:rRNA from 1 species
GAUGAACGCUGGCGGCGUGCCUAAUACAUGCAAGUCGAGCGAACGGACGAGAAGCUUGCUUCUCUGAUGUUAGCGGCGGACGGGUGAGUAACACGUGGAUAACCUACCUAUAAGACUGGGAUAACUUCGGGAAACCGGAGCUAAUACCGGAUAAUAUUUUGAACCGCAUGGUUCAAAAGUGAAAGACGGUCUUGCUGUCACUUAUAGAUGGAUCCGCGCUGCAUUAGCUAGUUGGUAAGGUAACGGCUUACCAAGGCAACGAUGCAUAGCCGACCUGAGAGGGUGAUCGGCCACACUGGAACUGAGACACGGUCCAGACUCCUACGGGAGGCAGCAGUAGGGAAUCUUCCGCAAUGGGCGAAAGCCUGACGGAGCAACGCCGCGUGAGUGAUGAAGGUCUUCGGGUCGUAAAACUCUGUUAUUAGGGAAGAACAUAUGUGUAAGUAACUGUGCACAUCUUGACGGUACCGAAUCAGAAAGCCACGGCUAACUACGU